rnacentral:lncRNA from 1 species
CACUCUCCCGCACACCUUGUUGGGGUUGCUGGUUUCCCCAGCCCUCCCAACCCGCGAUCCAUGCCAAUGCAUCUCCAACACUAAUUUCCCUGUGAAUGUCAAUUCCAGCUGUUGAUUGAGGAGGAAAGAUAGGUCUGUACCAUCACUCAAGCCAGAGAUUAUGACCAGAACAUCUGGGUUGGCUGAGUGCACUGCUUCAGCUCCUUUCUGCAUGUACCUGGUCAAUUCAUGAAUAGCUUUAUACCAAGACCAAUUCCUACAAAUAUGGUAACUAAUAGUUUGGAAAUAUAACAACCCCCUCCCUUACGUGUCCGUGUAGAUAUUGUCCAAUCCAAUGGGACCCUCACCAUACAAUACAAUGCAUAUAAGAUUAAGAAGAACCCAUGAAUACAUAACAUUCUUCAAUUUGGUCCCGCACAUUACGGAAUGAAUCAUUACAGGAAAAUAGAGAUCAUCACCUGUACCAGUCCUUCACAUUCUGAUUGGGGCAUCGGAGCUCAUUCCUCAAGCUCAUGCCCACCACAUUAGGGACACCGCUGAACAUGGUGGCAAUCCGGGUGAGGCCCUUGACCCACAAGUCUGGAUUGAAGUGCUGGUCGCCAAAGACGCCAUUGCCAUGGAAGCUGGGCUCGCUGAAGUGACUGUCUAGUAUGACCAUCAUAUUGUUGUCCGCAAGGUUAGACACCACCGCCUGCCAUAAUAACUUGAGAUAAAUACAAAACAGCGUUGGGUCUGUGCCUUUUUUACAAUACCGGUGUUUUAUCAUUAAAUAAUCACAAAUAUUAUUCUUUCCGAAUACUGUAGCUGUAACAGUGAGGGCGUUUGUCCAAAUUCACAAGCCACCUAUUUUUAAAUCAAGAUAAUCAUGAAAUCAUUUGAUAGUGUAAGAACCAAGGAACCAUUUCAAAAGCCUCCUAUUUUUACUCCAUGCCCUAAUCAAAAUUUAAGCUCUAAAUCAUGGUGGGAAAGUGACUAAAAAUCAAAAGAAAAGCAGGUAAGUUUUAAGCAAACAAAAUAGAUUCAUUCAAUUUUCCUGGUUCUUAAUGGAUUUGAGGCUUGGAGCCCCUUUAAUUGAUGCCUAGAGAAAAUCAAAUGAACUUGACCACCUGGUAAGCGCUUGUGAGAGGAAGAUCAAGCAUGGAAGGGUUAUUGGCCUGGAAACCAGCAAGGGAUUCAAGCAAGCCAAGCCUCUGAAAGGAUUGUCUAACAGUGAGGGAGGCCAGUGACUGGUCGAUGGCCAAGAAAAGUGGCAAAGUGAGCCUCACACAGUUGAACCCCAAGGACGCAAUCCUCUUGGAGAUGAGGUCAACUGGGUGGUUGCUGAGGCCCUCCGCCACCGCUGCUUCCUGAUGCGACAGCCAAUUCACGCAUGCCAGCUUCACCCGGGCGCCAUCUUCGUCUACUAUCCACCUUGAAUUGGUGUGUAGUGGCAGAGCCACCACAGGCUUCAGAGGUAGAAGACAUAGAAUAGAUAGAAAGAAGAAGAACCUCCCCAUCUGGAUUUGCAUCGACUGUUUGUUGGGUAGAUGGAACAUGAGACAUAGUAUUGUAUUUAUUAUUUGAGAAUUCAUUACAAUAUAUUUUUUUUCUAUUUUUAAAUUUUUUUAAUUAAUGUAAUUUUUUAUUUUUAUGUUUUGGGCAAAUUCUUCUAUUUUUAAAUUCUUCUAAUCAGUUAUAAUUUUUUAUUUUUAUGUUUUAGAUUAAUUCUAAAAUUAUUUCCUAUUUUUAUAUUUUGAAUAGAUUUUUUUCUAUUUUUAUGUUGUAGGUUUAUGUAUAUAUAUUAAUUCUUAAUCAAUGAGAAAGUCAAGUCAUUAUUUCUUAAUAAUUUUCUUUCUAUUUUAACAUUGUUUAUUUUUCUUUUUUAAAUUUUUUUUUUUUCUACUUUCUUCCCCACGUUAUGUUUUCGUAGACCAAAUGCAUAUAUAAAGUAAAAAAAUGAUCAUAACAUUAUUCAAAUAGUCAGCAUGUCUUUGAAUUUUGCUUUGUAAAAAUAUUAAAAAUUUAAGGAUGGGGUUUUUUCUUCAUAUUUAUUUGCAUAUUGUAGACUAUGAAUAGCCAUUAUAAUUGGCAUUGGAAACACGCAAAGUUACAGAACAUGGAAGUCAAAUAUUUGCUUGGAACUUUAGGGUUUGGAAAACUUGUAAGGCAGACCACAUCUACUCGGUUUCCCAUUGCUUUUUGUUUUUGUAUCUCGGCCUUGUGUUUAAUUCUUUUAAGCAAGUGAAUUUUAUACUUCUAUACUAUAAUUUAAAUUUAAAAAAUAAGUAUCUGAUGAUUUAAAUUUUCCUUAAUUACUCUUUAAAUCAAUAUACAUCUCUUUCCUUUUUAUUUAUUUCAACAAAAUAUUAAAGAAUAAUUUAGAAAAAUACUUUUAAAUUCACUUUAAUUUUUCCUCAUCCUUACUUGUAGUUUUUAAUUAAUUUUAAUUUAAUUAAUUAAUCAAUCAUGAUAAAUAUCCCUUCUUUACAGUACAGGUAAAGAGAAUCUGCUCGCACUCUUCUAUAUGGUACCAACUUCAACCAUUUAAAUAUCCCUUCUUUGUUUUUUUUUUCUUGCACAUGGGGUCCUUGUAUAACCAUGUUGGGUGAGGUCUCCCUUGAUUUGAGUGGAAUUCUAUGUUCAUGUGCUCUUGGAGGCGGUGAACCCUUAGGUUCGCUACAACAGUUGAGCUAAUUCCUUGGGUUCCUUUUCUCCCUCUUCAGCUGUAUUUUUUUCUACUUGUAUGGAGAAAAUUUGAACGUAGAUGCUUAAAAUAUGGAUUUUUGAUCCGAGUAUGAUAAUUUUAAAAAAUAAUUCUUAAAUUAUCGUAGUGGGAAAAAUAAUUCCAAAUUUACGGUAGUUGAGAAAGAUAUUUGUUUUUUUAAGUCGUCUUUUCAAAAGACGAUUUAUGAUCUUUUUUUUUUCACUAAGAAAUUGAAAUCGUCUCUUGAAAAAAUGAUUUCUACCAAAAAAAUAUAUAUAUAUAUAUAUAUAUAUAUAUAUAUAUAUAUAUAAUUAAUUAAUCAAAUAUCGUCUCUUGAAAAGAUAAUUUCCACCAAAAAAAAAUUAAGCAAUUAAAAAUCGUCUCUUCAAGAGACAAUUUCCAUAAAAAUAAAUAAAUAAAAUUUAAGUAAUUGGACAUGUCUUUUGAAAAGAUGAUUUUUCAAAAAAAAAAAAUUAAGUAAUUGAAAUUAUCUUUUGAAGAGACGAUUUUUACCACAAAAAAAAAAAAGUAAAAUUUAAUAACGAAGACGAUUAGGCAUUUGAAUAUGGAGAAUUUUACUAUAAAAGAUUUGGAUUGACUGACACAUUGUUUUUCUAUCCUUAAGGGAACAAGACCAAGAAAUUUAAGUGUCUUGCAUGAUGGAAAAUUUUGCAGGCCGGGGAUUUAUCCUUUCUUUUAACAUAAUAAUAUUUUGCAUAAUGGAAAAUUUUUGGAGCUUGGAUUUUCUUUAACUAGGAGAGUGAGCAAGAAGGCGUCCUCAUUAUCAUUAUCAUUGCUAUUUUCACUUUGGUCGGAAAGAAUAUGGGGAGUCACAUAUAUAUUUUUUUUGUACAAAUUGUCUCGAGACGAUUUCUUACUUGAUUUUAUUUUAUUUUAUUUUUGAAAUUGUUUCUUGAAGAUAAAAUUUCUCACUUCUUAAUUUUAUUUUAUUUUUAUUUUUUGAAAAUCGUCUCUUCAAAAGACGGUUUUUCAUUUCAUUUAUUACGAUUUAUUUAUAUUUUUUAAAAUCAUCUUUUGAAUAUACGAUUUUUCACUUCCAAUUUAUUUCUCUUUUCUAUUUGGAUAAAACUAAUUUAUAAUUAUUUUUCCUAUUAUGGUAAUUUAGGAAUUAAUUUUUAAAACCGUACUCUUAUCAAAAAAUCCCUUAAAAGUAUGUGCUUUAAAUCCCUAUAUGAUAUGCUAAAACUAACUUCAUGGAGCCUGUAGUACUACUACCUCUGAACAGGAAUUUCCUUCCAUUGACAGUAAAUUGCUUUCUUAGAUUGUUAAAAUUCCGCCUAAUGGGUCUCAAUUCAGCUAACAAUAUUGGAUCCCCAAAACCAUAUUGCAUCCUUCCAAGGUAUGAGUCUCAAAUCGGCUUAAUAAAAACUUCUUCCCUAGCAAGUUCCAUUUCAAUUGCCUGCAAACUGCAUCACCAGUGUUCAUUAUUGAAUUAUAGAUUGCACGGAUCUACCCUCACGGAUCCACACACACAGCCCUUGGCCACAAUGGGCUCUGGUUCUCUUCAUGCAAUGGCUGUAAUUUGACUGUAAAUUGGCACACUGAAGUUGGGAUAUUCUUAGAACUAGCUUUAAUUUAUUUAAAAACAGAAGCUACUUAUGUAUUCUUACAAGUUUCUAUAGAAGAUACAUAUAACACUGAUAGCAUGUACCUGAGCCCAUCAGAAUAAACUACAUAUUUUAAGCUUAAAAUGCCCAUCGCUGAGGGAGAUGAGGCUUUGAUAAAGUUAUUUUUAAGAUUUUCCCUUGCUACACACAUAUACAUAUACAUAUACAUAUACACACAACAAAGCUUGCAAGAAUAGGUCUUCUAGCAAGUCCAAGGUGGAUCUAGCUGGUCUGAAGAAUAGGUCUUCUUGAAAUAUUUGUGCUGUCAACAACCUUGAACCACUGGCUCCCAGGAUCACACGUAUCAUCUCUACCCAAGCACUUGCAGGCAUCUGUGACAAUGGUGCUGCUGGAGUCUACAUCCAAGCAAACCGUGGUGCUAUCCCCCAGCUUAGUUGACAGGUACAUCUUUGAAUCUGAAAUGAUAUCCCAAUUUGACCCAGGUUUAGUGCAUAUUAUACUGAGUUUUGCAGGCUUCCCUAGCUCAACUGCUUGAAGGCAGAAGUAUGACCCCUUCACUAUCAACAACUUUUGGGGGGUGUAGCCCCAGGCGUCUGACUUAGUGCAGGGACCUAGCUUUAAUGGUUCAGUCCAUGACUCCCACAGAAUGCAAAGACCAGUCGGAGGAUGGAGGAUUAUUUUAUGUGGUCUGACUCGGGAUACAUCUGGCCCUGCAUCUCACAUGAAAGCACAAAAAAAUUAGAUAUGAAUAAUUAAGUAAAUUUGCCUUAUUUGUCUUAGCAACCAUACCUUGCAAAGGAGAUUGGAGGGCUGAAAUCCUCUGGAAGACGCUUGAGUUCCAAUUCAUUAACCCAUUAGUCUCUUCCACUGUCCAUAAUGCCCAAUCGAAGUCCAGUUCAGCUGCCAGGCCAAAGAAGCAAUUUAAGUUCCUGUUGUCAUCCACCCCAAGCUCACUCACAAACAUUAAUGGCCACCCUUGCUGUAGCAGAACCCCCCCUCUCCUCAUUAUGCUGUCCACCACUCUCCCGCACACCUUGUUGGGGUUGCUGGUUUCCCCAGCCCUCCCAGCCCGCAAUCCAUCCCAAUGCAUCUCCAACACUAAUUUCCCUGUGAAUGUCAAUUCCAGCUGUUGAUUGAGGAGGAAAGAUAGGUCUGUACCAUCACUCAAGCCAGAGAUUAUGACCAGAACAUCUGGGUUGGCUGAGUGCACUGCUUCAGCUCCUUUCUGCAUGUACCUGGUCCAUUCAUGAAUAGCUUUAUAACAAGACCAAUUCCUACAAAUACGAUAAUUAAUAGUAUGAAAUUAUAACAAACCCCUCCCUUCCUUGUCAAUAUAGAUAUUGUCAAUUGGGAAACUUUACAAUGCAUUUAUAAGGUUAAGAAACUUUACAAUGCAUUUAUAAGGUUAAGAAGAGCCCAUAAAUAUAUAGUAUCAGGGGUUUUUGCCAAUUUGAUCCACAAUCCGUAGAGACACGAUAAGGAUUUUGUGUCUGGAUAGGGUGAUUGUAAUAUCAUAGGCCAAAAGUUCUUAACACUAUAUAUGACACGUUUUAAAGCCAUCCAUCGAGUCUAAAGAAAACAAUAUCUACAAGAUUGGGCUCACCUGUACCAGUCCUUCACAUUCUGUUUGGGGCAUCGGAGCUCAUUCCUCAAGCUCAUGCCCACCACGUUAGGCACACCACUGAACACGGUGGCCAUCCGGGUAAGGCCCUUGACCCACAAGUCUGGGUUGAAGUACUGGUCGCCAAAGAUGUCGUUGCUAUGGAAGCUGGGCUUACUGAAGUGACUGUCUAGUAUGAUCAUCAUAUUGUUGUCCGCAAUGUUAGACACCACCGCCUGCCAUAACAACCUAUUAGAUUAAUACAAACCAGGAGUAGGGUCUGAGCCUUUUUGAUAUUUCCGGUGUUUUAUCAUUAAAUUAUCCGAAAUCUUAUCCUUUCUGAAUACUGUAGCUGUAACAGUGAAGGCGUUUGACCAAAUUCACAAGCCACCUUUUUUAAAAUCAAGAUAAUCAUGAACCAUGUGAUAGCGUAAGAACCAAGGAACCAUGUGAUAGCUUAAGAACCAAGGAACCAUGCCCUAAUCAAAAUUUAAUCUCUAAAUCAUGGUGGGAAAGUGAUUAAAAACCAAAAGAAAAGCAGAUCAGUUUUAGGCAAACAAAAUAGAUUCAUUCAAUUUUCCUGAUACUUAAUGGAUUUGAGGCUUGGAGCCCCUUCAACUGAUGCCUAGACAGAAUCAAAUGAACUACCCACCUGGUAAGCGCUUGUGAGAGGAAGAUCAAGCAUGGAAGGGUUAUUGGCUUGGAAUCCAGCAAGGGAUUCAAGCAAGCCAAGCCUCUGAAAGGACUGUCUAACAGUGAGGGAGGCCAGUGACUGGUCGGUGGCCAAGAAAAGUGGCAGAGCGAGCCUCACACAGUUGAACCCCAAGGACGCAAUCCUCUUGGAGAUGAGGUCAACUGGGUGGUUGCUGAGACCCUCAGCCACCGGUGCUUCCCGAUGAGACGGCCAAUUCACGCAUGCCAGCUUCACCCGGGCGCCAUCUUCGUCUACUAUCCACCUUGAAGUGGUGUGUAGUGGCAGAGCCACCACAGGCUUCAGAGGUAGAAGACAUAAAAUAGAUAGAAGGAAGAAGAAGGAA